GCAGGGGUGGGAGCAGGAGGUUUCGGGGCGACGGUGGAAGGUUUAAUGGGACCAGUUUCUGGAACAUUCGGGACUGCGGCACCUUACGGCCGACCGAGAUUUGGGUCUGCGCAGGCGACGAUGGGUGGUCCGAUGGGCUUCAGGACUUGAUGGCGUAACCCCCUUCUUCCCCCACGUACGUAUUUGCUGGGAUCGGGGGCGAUGUCUCUGCGUAUGUGGGUGCUCUGUCUUUCUCACCUUCUUUCUCGCUUUUUGCUAUUUUUUUUCUCUGAGGGAGGGUUUUUUUCCACUUUAAUUUCUGUUUCCUUAGUGUCAGCUGCUCAAGCCUGACCAGGGUAGAGGAGAGAGGAGCAAGCCGUCCCCGGCGUCCCACCUGACCUCCCGGCCUUUACCCCCAUUUCCUUCUGUUGGACAGACAGACAGACAGACAGACUGGUUUUCCAGGUUGUUUGGGUGUCAGCAUCUGUCUGUCUGUCUGUGCGGUUCUCAGGUGGAAGGUAGGGAGUGAGGAGGAAGGCGAGGGGGCAGUUUUCCAGGGCUUGCCUCGUUGAAACGUUCGGCCCUGGGAAUCUGGGGCUGGUGGGGAGCAGGUGGGCAGGAUGGGGCGUGGGCUGGGAGAAGUGGGGUAAAGCUGGUAGGUCUGUCACUGCGUAGUUGGGGAAAGUGGGGAAUGGUGACGCAGUCACUGUUGGAUCUUGUUAGGAGCUCUUGGGGGACAGGUAGUGAGGCUCCCAGGAUCUGUAGGACCAGCCGAGAGGGGUUAAGGAUGAGCUGAGAAGGGAAGCUCGCAUUUAGAGAUUAAAUGUCAUCCUUUUGGCGUUGGAAAGUUGUUUACCUUGCGCUCUCUGUGUCUCCAUGUUGGCACCCUUCCAGUUCACAUGUGAUGGCCUUCCUUGUACUGCUGCAUCAUUAACUAAGUGACUGAGCUGGCCUUCCAUUGGCCAGGGGAGGGCUCUCACUCCAGACACUUCCUCUGAUUGGUGGGUGGGCCAGUGGCAGGUGAAAACCUUUUUUUGAUUGGCUGAGGGCAGGGUAUCAAAUCUGAAUUUGCAUUUCACUUGCUUAAAGGGGAGGGGGGGAGAAGCCCAGCAGCUUUCUAAAAUCUGUUUAGGGGUGUGCGUAUGCUCCUGUGUCUGCCUGCUUUUGACUGACCAGUUGAAGCCUCUUCCUGUGCCUUUUUUAUUUCAUGCACUAUUAGGAAGAGGAGCUGAGGGCUCCCCAAACUUUUUCUCAAAGGGGCGAAGGUUGGGGGAGAGGGGUGCGCAGAGGGUUGACCAAACUGGAAGGAAAUAUUUAUUAUUUAGUUUGGUGUCAGAAAAGGGAAUUUUCCGAUCAGCCACACCUCAGUGUUGCGGCAAAAUAAUUCUUGGCUCCCCUGGAAACGCAUGGGCAAGGUAGGGCAGAGCUGCUGCCUCCGCCGUUGCCACCACCCUGGGCUUCCUGCUGACUCUGGGCUACUCCCCGGGGACAAGAGAUUUGCAUUGACGUCCCCGGCUGUCCAGAGCCCAUUAUGGGAAGGACCUGCCUUCUGGAAGCUGCUGCUCCCUGGUGCCCGGAAAGGUAUCGCAUCAAGCUCGUUCUCGGCAAGAAUUUCGUCUGUUCUUCACCGCAGCCCUGCGAGGCACGUCCCAUGGCCGGAACACCUGCGUCAGGAAGACGCCAUGGGCACGGAGCCGUGAGCAUUGGCAGUGGCAGAGUGAGGGUUAACCAGUGAACCUUCCUGGGAGCCUUCUGAUGCCAGAGAACUCAGAGAAGUUCAGCUCCACGAGUCGAUGACGGCCUUUUGGAGACUCGGGCUCAGCUGACGAUGGUGCUGGUGAGCAGAAGACAGUCGUCAUCCUGGGGGAUAAAUGUGUAUCCGUUUGCGUUUAUUUGGAACAAAAAAAAAAAAAAAAAGGAGAUGCCUGGCAGCCUGGCUCUCUGCAGAGCCCUGAAACCAGCAUUCCCAGUGGCAGGAAGAUGGAUGAGCUGGGCUCCACGUCCAGCGCUCCUCCCCCGCUCUGGCUGGAACUUGCGUCAGUCAUGUAAGUAGCUGUGACUCAGCACCCAGCCGGGUCGGGAGGGAGGGAGAAGCCGCUGCCUCCAGGAGCCUUCGCAGCGCUCUGGAUCUGAACGGGCAGUGGGAGCGAGCGCAGAGCAGGCUGGCAGCACGGGGCUCCUGGAGGCGAAUAUCUGUUUGUUCCGUGGGUUUGCUUACAGAUUUCAUAAACAAGCCUUCCUCUCCUCCCCGUCUCCCACCCCUGUUAUUUCUGGGGGCACCAUGCUGGGCUUAGGGUUUCUCAGACUUUAAACGGCGCAGACAGCAUCAUUCAUGGAACGCAGUGGACGCUCUGUCUGCAACCUCCAGACUGUUCUUUAAGCCGAAGCCCGUGAAUGGUAUUUAACCCUCAGAUGUUUUCGUUUGCCCUGCACGGAGUUUUUUGUUUCUUUUUUCUUUCUUUUUUUUAAUGUAUCCGGUUCUGCAUGCCUUUAGACAAAACGUGGCCUCUCCAGAUCACUGUACUUCUGCUGCCCAUGGUGGCUGCUUCUCUGUCUCGAGUUUCCUGCCCAACCUCUCCAUGAAUUGUAAGGCGCAGUGACCAGUCUGUGCUAGCUCCUCUCUUUUUGCGGGGACCAUCGGCGCCUGUUCCAGAGGAGGGCAGGCCCCAGUUCCUAGAGCCCGGGCUGAGCAGGAGUCACAGCCGCUGUGUUCUGAUUCACUGUGCGGUGACCUUUCCUCCACCCUCGGGUCCCUGCCCAGGCAGAGGAGUGUCAUAGGCACGAGGGGGUGGAAAACCUCCAAAUCGGAUGUGGGCACAGAAGUGGACUGGGGCGGCAGCAGGCUCCCCAGGCCCUCUUCCGGCACCACCAGCACCUCCUGGAGCCGACACGCCCUCGGAGUCCUUCCCCCUUGCUGGUCAGCUUGCGUGGUGGGGCCACUAGGCUGAGGGGGGAGAACCCCGCCACCCACCUUUGACGGCAGAACGCUGAGCAGGCUGGGGCUUCUCAGGCUGCCUUCUUCCAGAUCGAGUUGGCCCUCGGGCUGAGUGCCAGGAAGAGCACGCCCGUUCUGGCUACAUCAAACCACCUGGCUGCAUGCAACUAGGGAGCAAAAUCAGCAGCUGGCCUCAGGUAAGUGAGUCCCUGCUUGGCUGACUUGGAGAGAGAAGCCUGAUUCUGUUGGGAGGCCUGAGACCUCAACAGACCCCUGUGUCUGAUGGACUUGGAAGGCAAAAGCUUCGGGUACUAAGAUGACUAUUCCCUUCCUCUUCUUUUAGGGUGUUUAUAGCAAUGCACUGUUAAUGAUUUUUUUUGUCUCUUUUUUCAGAGGACUAAGAGUAUUUUAGAACUCGAGUUGGGAGCCCAAACACGGGCUCAUGUCCCUUAGUUCCCUUGGUGACAGUGCGUCCUCUGCUCUGUGCAGCCUCUCCUCUGAGCUCAGGGCUGAUGCUUCCUGGGUAGCAGGAGAGACGUGGAUUGAUCCCCCCAACGACCAGGUGUCAGAAGCGUGUUCUGAAGGGAAAGAGCUUGAUGGUGUGACAGGGCGGCUUAACCGAGAGCCGGGCUAGACGAGGGAGCUUUCCUGAGCACGGAGUGGCCGAGCUGAGACCUGCAGGAGGACUUCAGACCACCCUGCUGACCUGGGUCGGGGGUUGGGGGUGGUAGGUAUGGGAGGGUGGAUGCAGAGUGUUCCAGAAGGCGGGAGCAGCAUAGGCAGAGGCCUUCUGGUGGAGGGAGAGGCAGUCUGGGUCACUGUAGGACGCCCUAGGAGAGGAUUCUGUGGAUAGUGGCAGUUGGAAGUUGCUAAGGAAGAGGAAUUUGGCUAAAGUGAAAAGCAGGAAGGCUGAGAAUUACCAAAUGUUGGUCUUCUCCAACCACUCAUUUCAUAGGAUUCAGACCACAUGGUAAUGACUGUCACUGAUACUCACUUCUGACCUUAGAGCCUUAGUUGUGACCUGACUCACAGCACCUUCCCCCACCAGCUGUUGACUGCAAUGGUCCUUAUUCAGAGCCCUUGCAGGCACUGCCAAGCCCUAGCCCCAGCUCUCCCAUCUGUGGCCAAGGUCUGGAGAGCCCAGUGCUGGUGUCAGAUCCUGCAGACGUCCAGCACGGGCACUGCAGGGCAGCUCAUCUCCAGUGUCCCCCCAACUCCCACAGCCAGGCCAUGGAGACCCCAAAAGGCACCGGAGGUGCAGGAGAAAAAGCAGGUAUCAAAGCACCACGCCUCUUGCAGAACAUAUGUGCUCCCAUCUCCCCUCAAGUUUUACAUGUUGUACAGUCAGGUACACCCCCCACUUUCCAUGCAGAAAUACUGCCUGGGAUUCCCACCUGCCCUCAAUCUUGUUCAUGAUUUAAGUUCAAAACCAGAAUGAGACAAUGGUCCAGCUGCAGAGCAGACGGCAGUGGGCAGAGGCGCAGGGACACAGACGUCGGAGUUACAGUGGGAUCAGCACCGCUCACCAGUCCUGUGACUGUGGGCAAGUUUUUGAACCAUUUUGAGGAUCAGUUGCUUCUGCAAAAAUGGGAAUAACACCUGCUUCACAGGGCUGUUGUGAGAAUUGAAGAGCACAGCUUGGUGUUCAAAUUUUAUUUCCUUCUCUUCCCUAAAGCAGCACAUCAUGUUAUUUUCAGGAGGCAUAAAAAAAUAUAAGCCUUUAUCUCAAGACCUGAAGAGUUGGUAGGGAACCUGAGAGAUCAGUCUCUGUCUCUUCUUUUUCUUGGUUAAGGAAUCAGAGGAAAUGCAGGCAUAUAUCCUUAACUUCAAACAGCCAAAAAAAGAUGGUGCAAUUAGGAGAUGGGAAAUCUCAUUUGAACACCAUUUGUGAAUUUCAGUUUCAGGCAAAAUUUGAAAACAACACAAAACAAAACUCCAUUCUUGUAUUAGAGGAUUAUCUUCUUAAUACAAUUUAGGAUACCGAUUUUUUGUGUCACAGUAGAGGAUAAAUCAGUUUGCCAGUUCAUGGGGUGAUAUUGGAAUGUCCCGACAAUUACCUUGGGCUGGGAAGGAGGAGCCCACGCUCCUCCCGAACGGGACACGUGGGAAAGUUGCCCUGCUUCAGGUGCAGCUGGCCUUCGCAGAGAGGCUGGAGCCUCCCGGGCAGACGGGGAGCUUGUUUCCUGAUGAAGUGAGAUAAUAUUAGAAAAUGCUUUGGAUACUGUGAAAUACUGUACAAAGCAGGGCAACACGGAUGUAAAUGUUAACACAGUUUAAUAAUAGUUUUGAUUGUUUUAUUUUACUAUAUAUAUAAUAAUUUGUAGGGACUGGUUGUGGAAUUGAAUAAAUUAACCUAGAAUUUGUGAGUUUCUGUAUUUCGACUGUCUAUGUGAAUUACCAGCUUUGACAUUCAUGUUCUUUGGAAAUUACUGUGUAAGUCUCCUCCCUGCCUUUCUAAUGGGUCCAUAUAUUAUGUCCCAUCACAAGUGGAACUGCAAGAAGACGUUACUGCUCGGGGCAGAGGCUGGGUCUUCUGAUCGCAUCUCCCUUCUUUCUUCAGUGAGAUCCUCUUCUUCUGGAAGCUGGUUUCACAUGGUGGCUUAGAUUUUUCCAUCUUUGUAUCUAGCACCAUUUGAAAUCAGUGUUUUAGGAGUAAGAAUUGCAGCACAGCCAAGGGCCAACUGCAGAGGAGCUGCCGCUUGUGGGACCGGCUCUCCUCCUCCUGCCGCCUGAGCUGGCUCAAAAAAGGAUGAACUUGAAAAGCAAAGUCACUCUUGAGUGUGUUGGGUUGUGGAGGCAACAGUGCAGGGACUGGGUUGUGUCCAAAGUGAACUCGGUGGAUUGAGCAGGGCCAGGCGUUGUUAUCUUUCUGAGGACAGGUAGCAGCAGCCGCCAGCAGUAACCUGUUGGCAGGGCUUUGAGCGCGUGACUGGGCAAUGCUGGGUUGGGUACUGGAUUGCAGUAGGGAAGGGGGAGGUAUGAGUCCCGGGAGGACUGUCUCCCCACAUCAGCGCCGUCCGCCUGCUCCUAGAUGCCCUGGAACAUUCAGCUGCAGGUGCCGCACAGCUGAAGUCAGACUUGCCACCUGCACUGCCAAGGUGCAGGACCCCCGGAGCACCACUGGACCCAUCUCUUACACAGGCUGACCGAUUUCUCCUGGUGUUCAGAGUCUGUUUUUGUCUAGCACCAUUUGAAAUCGGUUAUGAUGUAGGGGGAAAAGCAGCAGCCUCGAGGUCUCAUGCCAAGUGUGGUGAGCAACAGCCUGUGGCUUCCUGGAAGAUGGAUGGGCAGAGAGAGGGGAGGGGAUCACGCUUUUCCUAUGAACUUCCUUAGCUGCAUUUUUGAUACGUUAUACACAGGUAAUAGAUCAUUUAAUGGAUUUUUCAAAACAAAUAACUGUAAGUUUCCUGAUGUCCUCAGUUUGCUGAAUUGUGGUAGUACUGUAAACUAUAAAUUGGUUGCUGUUAAGUUACCUUUCUGUUAAAAGAAGUCUGUUCAUGCAUCUUCACCUUAAUAAAUGUUUUAUUAUAUUCAGUU